rnacentral:rRNA from 1 species
AUUGAACGCUGGCGGCAGGCCUAACACAUGCAAGUCGAACGAGUGGCGGACGGGUGAGUAAUGUCUGGGAAACUGCAUGAUGGAGGGGGAUAACUACUGGAAAAGGUAGAUAAUACCGCAUACCAUCAGAUGUGCCCAGAUGGGAUUAGCUUGUUGGUGGGGUAACGGCUCACCACUGCGACGAUGCCCAGCUGGUCUGAGAGGAUGACCAGCCACACGGGAACUGAGACACGGUCCAGAGUCCUACGGGAGGCAGCAGUGGGGAAUAUUGCACAAUGGGCGCAAGCCUGAUGCAGCCAUGCCGCGUGUAUGAAUAAGGCCUUCGGGUUGUAAAGGACUUUCAGCGGGGAGGCGUUACCCGCAGAAGAAGCACCGGCUAACUCCGUGCCAGCCGCCGCGGUAAUUC